UCUUAUGGAUGAGCAAGGGAAGUGGUUUCUUGAGAUGGAAUCUGCUCCCGGUAAAGAUGCUGUGAA
rnacentral:pre_miRNA from 2 species